rnacentral:rRNA from 1 species
GACCUGGCUCAGGAUGAACGCUAGCUACAGGCUUAACACAUGCAAGUCGAGGGGCAGCAUGGUCUUAGCUUGCUAAGGCUGAUGGCGACCGGCGCACGGGUGAGUAACACGUAUCCAACCUGCCGUCUACUCUUGGCCAGCCUUCUGGAAGGAAGAUUAAUCCAGGAUGGGAUCAUGAGUUCACAUGUCCGCAUGAUUAAAGGUAUUUUCCGGUAGACGAUGGGG